rnacentral:rRNA from 1 species
UGCAGUCGAACGGAAGGCCUGUACUUGUACAGGUACUCGAGUGGCGAACGGGUGAGUAACACGUGGGUGAUCUGCCCUGCACUGUGGGAUAAGCCCGGGAAACUGGGUCUAAUACCAUAUAGGACCACUUCUUGGAUGUUGUGGUGGAAAGCUUUUGCG